rnacentral:rRNA from 1 species
UGGGGAAUAUUGCACAAUGGGCGAAAGCCUGAUGCAGCAACGCCGCGUGAGUGAUGAAGGCCUUCGGGUUGUAAAGCUCUGUCUUUUGGGACGGUAAUAACGGUACCAAAGGAGGAAGCCACGGCUAACUACGUGCCAGCAGCCGCGGUAAUACGUAGGUGGCAAGCGUUGUCCGGAUUUACUGGGCGUAAAGGAUGCGUAGGCGGAUUUUUAAGUGAGAUGUGAAAUACCCGGGCUUAACUUGGGUGCUGCAUUUCAAACUGGGAAUCUAGAGUGCGGGAGAGGAGAAUGGAAUUCCUAGUGUAGCGGUGAAAAUGCGUAGAGAUUAGGAAGAACACCAGUGGCGAAAGGCGAUUCUCUGGACCGUAACUGACGCUGAGGCAUGAAAGCGUGGGUAGCAAAACAGGAUUAGAUACCCUGGUAGUCCACGCCGUAAACGAUGAGUACUAGGUGUAGGAGGUAUCGACCCCUUCUGUGCCGCAGUUAACACAAUAAGUACUCCGCCU